CCUACGGGAGGCAGCAGUGGGGGAUAUUGCACAAUGGGGGAAACCCUGAUGCAGCGACGCCGCGUGAGUGAAGAAGUAUUUCGGUAUGUAAAGCUCUAUCAGCAGGGAAGAAAAUGACAGUACCUGACCAAUAAGCCCCGGCUAACUCCGUGCCAGCAGCCGCGGUAAUACGUAGGGGGCAAGCGUUAUCCGGAUUGACUGGGUGUAAAGGGAGCGUAGACGGUGAUGUAAGUCUGGAGUGAAAGCCCGGGGCCAAACCCCGGGACUGCUUUGGAAACUGUGUAACUGGAGUGCAGGAGGGGCAGGCGGAAUUCCUGGUGUAGCGGUGAAAUGCGUAGAUAUCAGGAGGAACACCGGCGGCGAAGGCGGCCUGCUGGACUGAAACUGACGUUGAGGCUCGAAAGCGUGGGGAGCAAACAGGAUUAGAUACCCCGGUAGUC
rnacentral:rRNA from 1 species